rnacentral:rRNA from 1 species
GAUGAACGCUGGCGGCGUGCCUAAUACAUGCAAGUCGAGCGAACAGACGAGGAGCUUGCUCCUCUGACGUUAGCGGCGGACGGGUGAGUAACACGUGGAUAACCUACCUAUAAGACUGGGAUAACUUCGGGAAACCGGAGCUAAUACCGGAUAAUAUAUUGAACCGCAUGGUUCAAUAGUGAAAGACGGUUUUGCUGUCACUUAUAGAUGGAUCCGCGCCGCAUUAGCUAGUUGGUAAGGUAACGGCUUACCAAGGCGACGAUGCGUAGCCGACCUGAGAGGGGGAUCGGCCAAACUGGAACUGAGACACGGUCCAGACUCCUACGGGGGGCAGCAGUAGGGAAUCUUCCGCAAUGGGCGAAAGCCUGACGGAGCAACGCCGCGUGAGUGAUGAAGGUCUUCGGAUCGUAAAACUCUGUUAUUAGGGAAGAACAAAUGUGUAGGUAACUAUGCACGUCUUGACGGUACCUAAUCAGAAAGCCACGGCUAACUACGUG